rnacentral:lncRNA from 10 species
CACAGUCCGGGGCUGGGGCGCUCAUUGAUGCAGUGAUCACACGUAAGUUUAAUAACCAACUUGAUAAGUGCUCUGAGAGAAAAAUAACUGUGAGAGCGGCCACCUGAGGUUCUCCCCCAAUCUGCAGUGAGCCGAGAUCAGAACAGGUAAUUCCGUAAAUGAGAGAGAGAAGCAAAGCGUUACAGGCAGAAGAGUCUAUUUGAAAUCUCUGAGAAAGGAGGAAGCAUGAUGGGAAUGGGGAACUGGAAUUCUCUAAUGCUCCGAUGACUGUCUAAGUGGGGGAUCACCCGGCAUUGACAGACUGGGAAGCUUAAAUGAGUCACUCGCCUGAGGUCACAUGGUUAGUUUGAUGCAGAGAAGACUCGAAAACCAGUUAAAGAACAGUCAGUGGGGCCCGGCCUUGUAGCUCACACCUUUAAUACCACCACUUU